rnacentral:rRNA from 1 species
GACGAACGCUGGCGGCGUGCCUAAUACAUGCAAGUAGAACGCUGAAGGAGGAGCUUGCUUCUCUGGAUGAGUUGCGAACGGGUGAGUAACGCGUAGGUAACCUGCCUGGUAGCGGGGGAUAACUAUUGGAAACGAUAGCUAAUACCGCAUAACAGUAGAUAUCGCAUGAUAUCUACUUGAAAGGUGCGAUUGCAUCACUACCAGUUGGACCUGCGUUGUAUUAGCUAGUUGGUGAGGUAACGGCUCACCAAGGCGACGAUACAUAGUCGACCGGAGAGGGGGAUCAGCCACACUGAGACUGUGACACGGCACAGACUGCCACGGGAGGCAGCAGGAGGGAUACGUGGGCAAGGGACGGAAGACAGAGCGAGCUACGCCGCGGGAGGAAAGAAGGAUGUCGGAUCGGGAAGCUCGGUUGUAAGGGAAGAAAGAGUGUGAGAGUGGAAAGUACACACUGUGACGGUAUCUGAUCAGAAAGGGACGGCUAACUACGUG